CUGCCCCGUGCUUUUGGUGGUCGGUGAGAACUCCCCUGACGAGGACACCGUGGUGGAGUGUAUUGUCAAGCUCGACCCGACCCAAACUUCCUUCCUCAAGAUGGCAGACAGGGGCGGCCAACCCCAACUCACCCAG